rnacentral:rRNA from 1 species
UACGUAGGGUGCAAGCGUUGUCCGGAAUUAUUGGGCGUAAAGAGCUCGUAGGCGGUUUGUCACGUCGGAUGUGAAAACUCGGGGCUCAACCCCGAGCCUGCAUUCGAUACGGGCAGACUUGAGUUCGGCAGGGGAGACUGGAAUUCCUGGUGUAGCGGUGAAAUGCGCAGAUAUCAGGAGGAACACCGAUGGCGAAGGCAGGUCUCUGGGCUGACACUGACGCUCAUGCACGAAAGCGUGGGGAGCAAACAGG